UACAGAGGUGGCAAGCGUUGUUCGGAAUUACUGGGCGUAAAGCGCGCGCAGGCGGUCCUUUAAGUCUGAUGUGAAAGCCCACGGCUCAACCGUGGAGGGUCAUUGGAAACUGGGGGACUUGAGUACAGAAGAGAAGAGUGGAAUUCCACGUGUAGCGGUGAAAUGCGUAGAGAUGUGGAGGAACACCAGUGGCGAAGGCGACUCUUUGGUCUGUAACUGACGCUGAGGCGCGAAAGCGUGGGGAGCAAACAGG
rnacentral:rRNA from 1 species